UACAGAGGGUGCGAGCGUUAAUCGGAAUUACUGGGCGUAAAGCGUGCGUAGACGGUUUCGUAAGUUCGGGUGUGAAAGCCCCGGGCUCAACCUGGGAAUUGCAUUCGAGACUGCGUAGCUAGGGUGCGGAAGAGGGAAGCGGAAUUUCCGGUGUAGCGGUGAAAUGCGUAGAUAUCGGAAGAACAUCAGUGGCGAAAGCGGCUUCC
rnacentral:rRNA from 1 species